AACGCUAGCUACAGGCUUAACACAUGCAAGUCGAGGGGUAACGAGAGGGAAGCUUGCUUUCCUUGUCGACGACCGGCGCACGGGUGAGUAACGCGUAUCCAACCUGCCCAUUACCACGGGAUACCCCGUCGAAAGGCGGCCUAAUACCGUAUGCAGUCGUCAGAUGACAUCAGAGGACGACGAAAGGAUUGGCGGUAAUGGAUGGGGAUGCGUCUGAUUAGGUAGUUGGAGGGGUAACGGCCCACCAAGCCAUCGAUCAGUAGGGGUUCUGAGAGGAAGGUCCCCCACAUUGGAACUGAGACACGGUCCAAACUCCUACGGGAGGCAGCAGUGAGGAAUAUUGGUCAAUGGGCGCGAGCCUGAACCAGCCAAGUAGCGUGAGGGACGACGGCCCUAUGGGUUGUAAACCUCUUUUAUGCGGGAAUAAAAUGUUUGACGUGUCAUACAUUGUAGGUACCGCAAGAAUAAGGACCGGCUAAUUCCGUGCCAGCAGCCGCGGUAAUACGGAAGGUCCAGGCGUUAUCCGGAUUUAUUGGGUUUAAAGGGAGCGUAGGCCGCAAGUCAAGCGUGUUGUGAAAUGCAGGGGCUCAACCUCUGGAUUGCAGCGCGAACUGGCAUGCUUGAGUACGCACGAGGUAGGCGGAAUUUGUGGUGUAGCGGUGAAAUGCUUAGAUAUCACGAAGAACUCCGAUUG
rnacentral:rRNA from 1 species